rnacentral:rRNA from 1 species
CCUACGGGAGGCAGCAGUGGGGAAUAUUGCACAAUGGGGGAAACCCUGAUGCAGCGACGCCGCGUGAGUGAGGAAGUAUUUCGGUAUGUAAAGCUCUAUCAGCCGGGAAGAAAAUGACGGUACCUGACUAAGUAGCCCCGGCUAACUACGUGCCAGCAGCCGCGGUAAUACGUAGGGGGCAAGCGUUAUCCGGAUUUACUGGGUGUAAAGGUAGCGUAGACGGUUAAUCAAGUCAGAAGUGAAACCCCAGGGCUCAACCUGGGGACUGCUUUUGAAACUGAGUAGCUAGAGGGCAGGAGAGGUGAGCGGAAUUCCUGGUGUAGCGGUGAAAUGCGUAGAGAUUAGGAGGAACACCAGUGGCGAAGGCGGCUUACUGGACUGUAACUGACGUUGAGGCUCGAAAGCGUGGGGAGCAAACAGGAUUAGAUACCCCAGUAGUC